rnacentral:rRNA from 1 species
AAAUUACCAAGGAGCAGGUAUCAGGCACAACCCGUUAGCCCAAAACACCUUGCUACGCCACACCCACACGGGCACCCAGCAGUGAUAAAUAUUAAGCAAUGAGUAAAAACCAACUAAAGCUCGACUUAGUUAUGAUUAUUAGGGCCGGUAAACCUCGUGCCAGCCACCGCGGUUAUACGAGGGGCCCGAAACAACGGAAAUCGGCGUAAAUUGUGACUAGAGUAUCUACUUAUAUCAUUGGAAAAUAAACAAAAACUCAACCGUAAAACCCGAGUCAAAAGAAACAUAAUUUUCCAACUACAAAGAAACUUGAACCCACGAAGACUAAGAAACAAACUAGGAUUAGAUACCCUACUAUGCUUAGUUGUUAACAUGAUACCAAAAAACACCAGUAUCCGCCAGAAGAUUACACGCGAAAAGCUUAAAACUCAAAAGACUUGGCGGUGCUCCGUAUUCGCCUUAGAGGAGCCUGUCCUAUAAUCGAUAACCCACGUUUUACCUUACCAUCUUUUGUCAAUACAGCCUAUAUACCGCCGUCGCAAACUUACCCCAUGAGGGAACAACAGUAAGUAAAAUAGUAACACACUAACACGUCAGGUCAAGGUGUAGCUAAUAAGAUGGAAGAGAUGGGCUACAUUUUCUAAAACAGAACACACGGCAAAGAGCACUGAAAUAUGCUCUAAAAGGUGGAUUUAAUAGUAAGAUAGAAAAGAAAACCUAUCUAAAAC